GUCGACUUCAGCAGGUUCCGGGGUGAGCGCAUCCAAAGCCGCCCCCACUCGCCCGCCCCUACCUUUGAGGGGUUACUGCCUCCCCCUCCAUUCCAUUCACACCCCCACUCCAGCGCGUGUCCCCGCUCCAGGGACUGUCUCCACGGCCCUGGGCCCCCUCCCCCCACCUGGCCCGGACUCCUUCCGCCCACGCGGCCCCCAUAUGCUGGGAAGAGCCUCCCACUCCCCAUCUGUCAAGCUACUUCCUUGCCCCCAUUCCAGGCUCCGCCGACAUCCUCUCCUCCAGGAAGCCGGUCCUGAUUGAGAGGAAGGCAGUUCAUCAGCAACUGCUGUCACUCCAUCUUCCUAACCCAUCAAGCGCCUGACUACUUCUUACCACUUCUGCAGCUGUCACCCUGGUCCAAGCCAUCAUCGUCUCUGUCCUGCACUGCUGCAAGAGUCUCCCUGAUUUUGCUUUUGUCCCCCUACAGUCUAUUCCUCAUGCAGCAUUGUGGGAUCCUGCUAAAAUGUAAGUUCAUGACACCUGGCUCCUGGCCUUAGGAAGUCUGGCUGUCUGGGAGACCUGGACAGCUAUUUCUCUACUCACCACAUGAAUGAACAAGCUGCUUGUUUCACCCUGCCCCACUCUCAGGGUACUGGAGAAAGUUAAAGCUGUGUAGAGGGAGACAGAUCUCGCCAAAGAAAGUGGGCCUGCUGCUGGACGGACCCUGGGUGUUUUUGAGCUCUUGCAUCCACUGUUCCCACUCUGAGAAACACUUUUCCUGGCUCUUCUGAGGUUGGUUCAGUCGCCUUCAUCCAUGUAUCAGUUCGUAUCUCAAAUCCUGUCCUGUCUAAAAUAAUUCACCCACUCCCUGCCUUUCUCUACACUUGUUUUGUUUUCUUGUAAAGCACAUAUCACCAUCUGAAAUUAUCUUCUACUGGCUUAUCAAUAAUGAUGUUUUUAAAAAAAUAAAUAAAUAAAGUAGAGAAUUGCAACAACAACAACAACAAAAUAAUGUUUUUGUAAACUUCCCUGGACUGGAUUGUAAGCUCCAUGAGGCUGGGCCCCUUGCCUAUCUUGUUCAUCUCUGUAUUUUCUAUGUCUAGAUUAGUGCCCAGCACAUA